GGCUUUGCAGCUUUCCUGUGGUCCUGAACGGCCACAUAGCCCCUCGGAGCCUUGGUGGCUCAUCUGCAGAGUGGGAGCACCUUCCUACAUUAUUACGAGGAUUCCCCGGGAACACGUCCACGCUGAGGAACUGAAGUUGCUAAUCACGUCCUGGAGGUGGGGAGAGAGGGCCCUGUGCAGAUCCUGGGCUGGAGAUAAUUUGGGAGGAGAGCACAGGCUGCCGGCCCCAGCUCUCCAGGCAGUGUGGGACCGCGGGGAGGAGCGGGGAUGUGCGUGAGGCCGUCCCUCCUGCCUCGUUCGCAGGCACAGAGUAGAUGGCCGGUGUCAAGAAGCUGCCGCGCGGUCCCCGGCCGAGGAGAAUCAAACACAUACAGCAGCGUCAGGCUCCGGGAGACCUCGUGAACUCAGUGAUUUCAAGUCCCGUUUCAGACCGUG
ensembl:lncRNA novel transcript